rnacentral:rRNA from 1 species
AGUGAACGCUGGCGGUAGGCCUAACACAUGCAAGUCGAACGGCAGCACAGUAAGAGCUUGCUCUUACGGGUGGCGAGUGGCGGACGGGUGAGGAAUACAUCGGAAUCUACUUUUUCGUGGGGGCUAACGUAGGGAAACUUACGCUAAUACCGCAUACGACCUACGGGUGAAAGCAGGGGAUCUUCGGACCUUGCGCGAGUGUAUGAGCCGAUGUCGGAUUAGCUAGUUGGCGGGGUAAAGGCCCACCAAGGCGACGAUCCGUAGCUGGUCUGAGGGGAUGAUCACCCACCUUGGCUGUGAGGCAGGGCCCCCACCCCUGCGGGGAGCCGCGGUGGGGAAUCUUGCAGGAGGCGCGAGAGCGUUAUACCGCCAUACCGGGGGAGGGAAGAAGGCGCUCGGCUUCGAAAGUCUUUUUGGUGGGAAAGAAAAACAGCUGGUUUACCCCGGGCUUUUAUGACGUUACCAAAAGAAUAAGCCCCGGCUAACUCCGUG